UCGCUGGAUGCUCGCCUAGCAAAUACUUCGCUACUUCCCUCGCCACAUCGAGUUUUGAUCUUUUUGCUACUGUCCAAGUCUGGGAGUGUUUGCUGGCAUCUCGCUGCGUGAUCGCCUAGCGAAUACUUCGCUACCUCACUCGCCUAGAGAGCUUGCUAAGGUUUGCUUUCUUUCUUGGUUCCUUUUCCAUCUUUCUUGUGCCUUAGUUUUCUACUCUUUCA
rnacentral:lncRNA from 1 species